UACGUAGGGUGCGAGCGUUAAUCGGAAUUACUGGGCGUAAAGCGUGCGCAGGCGGUGAGCUGUGUCCGAUGUGAAAGCCCCGGGCUUAACCUGGGAAUGGCAUUGGAAACUGGCUCGCUGGAGUGUGGCAGAGGGGGGUGGAAUUCCGCGUGUAGCAGUGAAAUGCGUAGAGAUGCGGAGGAACCCCAGAGGCGAAGGCGGCGUCCUGGCUCGCAUCUGACGCUCAGACACGACAGCAUGGGGAGCGAACGGG
rnacentral:rRNA from 1 species